rnacentral:rRNA from 1 species
AGAGUUUGAUCAUGGCUCAGAAUCAACGCUGGCGGCGCGCCUAACACAUGCAAGUCGAACGAGAAAGUGGAGCAAUCCAUGAGUAAAGUGGCGUACGGGUGAGUAACACGUGGAUAAUCUGCCCUUUAGUGGGGAAUACCGAUGGGAAACCGUCGACAAUACCGCAUAAGCUCGAGAGAGGAAAGCAGCAAUGCGCUGAAGGAGGAGUCCGCGGUCGAUUAGCUAGUUGGUGAGGUAAUGGCUCACCAAGGCUGUGAUCGAUAGCCGGCCUGAGAGGGCACACGGCCACACUGGCACUGAAACACGGGCCAGACUCCUACGGGAGGCAGCAGUGGGGAAUCUUGCACAAUGGGGGCAACCCUGAUGCAGCGACGCCGCGUGAGCGAUGAAGCCCUUCGGGGUGUAAAGCUCUUUCGGCAGGGAAGAUUAUGACGGUACCUGCAGAAGCAGCUGCGGCUAACUACGUGCCAGCAGCCGCGGUAAUACGUAGGCAGCAAGCGUUGUUCGGAGUUACUGGGCGUAAAGGGUGCGUAGGCGGUCCUGUAAGUAUGGUGUGAAAUCUCCCGGCUUAACUGGGAGGGUGCGCUAUAGACUGCGGGACUAGAGGGUGGGAGAGGAAAGUGGAAUUCCUGGUGUAGCGGUGAAAUGCGUAGAUAUCAGGAGGAACACCGGUGGUGUAAACGGCUUUCUGGACCAUUUCUGACGCUGAGGCACGAAAGCGUGGGUAGCAAACAGGAUUAGAUACCCUAGUAGUCC